rnacentral:rRNA from 2 species
GGGUUGUGAGGUUAAGCGACCAAGCGUACACGGUGGAUGCCCUGGCAGUCAGAGGCGAUGAAGGACGUGCUAAUCUGCGAUAAGCGCCGGUAAGGUGAUAUGAACCGUUAUAACCGGCGAUUUCCGAAUGGGGAAACCCAGUGUGACUCGUCACACUAUCAUUAACUGAAUCCAUAGGUUAAUGAGGCGAACCGGGGGAACUGAAACAUCUAAGUACCCCGAGGAAAAGAAAUCAACCGAGAUUCCCCCAGUAGCGGCGAGCGAACGGGGAGGAGCCCAGAGCCUGAAUCAGCAUGUGUGUUAGUGGAAGCGUCUGGAAAGGCGCGCGAUACAGGGUGACAGCCCCGUACACAAAAGCGCACAUGUUGUGAGCUCGAUGAGUAGGGCGGGACACGUGGUAUCCUGUCUGAAUAUGGGGGGACCAUCCUCCAAGGCUAAAUACUCCUGACUGACCGAUAGUGAACCAGUACCGUGAGGGAAAGGCGAAAAGAACCCCGGCGAGGGGAGUGAAACAGAACCUGAAACCGUGUACGUACAAGCAGUGGGAGCACAGGUUUACCUGUGUGACUGCGUACCUUUUGUAUAAUGGGUCAGCGACUUAUAUUCUGUAGCAAGGUUAACCGCAUAGGGGAGCCGAAGGGAAACCGAGUCUUAACCGGGCGUUAAGUUGCAGGGUAUAGACCCGAAACCCGGUGAUCUAGCCAUGGGCAGGUUGAAGGUUGGGUAACACUAACUGGAGGACCGAACCGACUAAUGUUGAAAAAUUAGCGGAUGACCUGUGGCUGGGGGUGAAAGGCCAAUCAAACCGGGAGAUAGCUGGUUCUCCCCGAAAGCUAUUUAGGUAGCGCCUCGUGAACUCAUCUCCGGGGGUAGAGCACUGUUUCGGCUAGGGGGCCAUCCCGGCUUACCAACCCGAUGCAAACUGCGAAUACCGGAGAAUGUUAUCACGGGAGACACACGGCGGGUGCUAACGUCCGUCGUGAAGAGGGAAACAACCCAGACCGCCAGCUAAGGUCCCAAAGUCAUGGUUAAGUGGGAAACGAUGUGGGAAGGCCCAGACAGCCAGGAUGUUGGCUUAGAAGCAGCCAUCAUUUAAAGAAAGCGUAAUAGCUCACUGGUCGAGUCGGCCUGCGCGGAAGAUGUAACGGGGCUAAACCAUGCACCGAAGCUGCGGCAGCGACGCUUAUGCGUUGUUGGGUAGGGGAGCGUUCUGUAAGCCUGCGAAGGUGGCCUGUGAGGGUUGCUGGAGGUAUCAGAAGUGCGAAUGCUGACAUAAGUAACGAUAAAGCGGGUGAAAAGCCCGCUCGCCGGAAGACCAAGGGUUCCUGUCCAACGUUAAUCGGGGCAGGGUGAGUCGACCCCUAAGGCGAGGCCGAAAGGCGUAGUCGAUGGGAAACGGGUUAAUAUUCCCGUACUUGGUGUUACUGCGAAGGGGGGACGGAGAAGGCUAUGUUGGCCGGGCGACGGUUGUCCCGGUUUAAGCGUGUAGGCUGACUUUCCAGGCAAAUCCGGAGAGUCAAGGCUGAGGCGUGACGACGAGGCACCACGGUGCUGAAGCAACAAAUGCCCUGCUUCCAGGAAAAGCCUCUAAGCAUCAGGUAACAUCAAAUCGUACCCCAAACCGACACAGGUGGUCAGGUAGAGAAUACCAAGGCGCUUGAGAGAACUCGGGUGAAGGAACUAGGCAAAAUGGUGCCGUAACUUCGGGAGAAGGCACGCUGACACGUAGGUGAAGUGGUUUACCCAUGGAGCUGAAGUCAGUCGAAGAUACCAGCUGGCUGCAACUGUUUAUUAAAAACACAGCACUGUGCAAACACGAAAGUGGACGUAUACGGUGUGACGCCUGCCCGGUGCCGGAAGGUUAAUUGAUGGGGUCAGCGCAAGCGAAGCUCCUGAUCGAAGCCCCGGUAAACGGCGGCCGUAACUAUAACGGUCCUAAGGUAGCGAAAUUCCUUGUCGGGUAAGUUCCGACCUGCACGAAUGGCGUAAUGAUGGCCCAGGCUGUCUCCACCCGAGACUCAGUGAAAUUGAACUCGCUGUGAAGAUGCAGUGUACCCGCGGCAAGACGGAAAGACCCCGUGAACCUUUACUAUAGCUUGACACUGAACAUUGAGCCUUGAUGUGUAGGAUAGGUGGGAGGCUUUGAAGCGUGGACGCCAGUCUGCGUGGAGCCGGCCUUGAAAUACCACCCUUUAAUGUUUGAUGUUCUAACGUGGACCCGUAAUCCGGGUUGCGGACAGUGUCUGGUGGGUAGUUUGACUGGGGCGGUCUCCUCCUAAAGAGUAACGGAGGAGCACGAAGGUUGGCUAAUCCUGGUCGGACAUCAGGAGGUUAGUGCAAUGGCAUAAGCCAGCUUGACUGCGAGCGUGACGGCGCGAGCAGGUGCGAAAGCAGGUCAUAGUGAUCCGGUGGUUCUGAAUGGAAGGGCCAUCGCUCAACGGAUAAAAGGUACUCCGGGGAUAACAGGCUGAUACCGCCCAAGAGUUCAUAUCGACGGCGGUGUUUGGCACCUCGAUGUCGGCUCAUCACAUCCUGGGGCUGAAGUAGGUCCCAAGGGUAUGGCUGUUCGCCAUUUAAAGUGGUACGCGAGCUGGGUUUAGAACGUCGUGAGACAGUUCGGUCCCUAUCUGCCGUGGGCGCUGGAGAACUGAGGGGGCUGCUCCUAGUACGAGAGGACCGGAGUGGACGCAUCACUGGUGUUCGGGUUGUCAUGCCAAUGGCACUGCCCGGUAGCUAAAUGCGGAAGAGAUAAGUGCUGAAAGCAUCUAAGCACGAAACUUGCCCCGAGAUGAGUUCUCCCUGAGACUAUAAGUCUCCUGAAGGAACGUUGAAGACGACGACGUUGAUAGGCCGGGUGUGUAAGCGCAGCGAUGCGUUGAGCUAACCGGUACUAAUGAACCGUGAGGCUUAACCUUACAACGCCGAAGCUGUU